AUAUCAGCGUUGGGAAGGGGCUGAGAACAUGGAAGGUCAGAGCUGAGAGCCUGAGAACACAGGAUGUCAAGGCUGGGAAGGGUUUUAGAUGGUAUAGUCCCACCUCAUCCUCCAUCUUACUAAUGAAAUCCAGUGACUUAGUCCAUGGGAUGGAGAUGUGAAAUGACCCUUCAACGACUCAUCAUUCACUGCCCUGGGGCUCCCUCCACUUUUAUUUGAUCAUAACAAGAGUCACUGGGAUUUUAUCAACAAAUCAGUCUCCUGGAGCCAAGGUUCCGGUGAUGGCAAUGAGGCUCCAGUCUCUGGAUGACCGAGCUGAGCUCUGGGCCCUUCCAUCUCAGGCAGCCUUGGAGGAGCUUACUUACAAGACCACAUCAUCUGAGAAGCCAGUGCUUUUCAUGGACUUCAGAGGAGAGCAUAAUACCGAAAGCUUGGAUUUACACAGCGCUCUAGGGUCAGAGGUCAGCACCUGAGAGCACAAGGGUCACAUGCGAUAAGCAAGCAGCAGGCUGGCGUUUGCUCACCCUUGCUCAAGAUGUAUAAAGAUUAGCACCAAAUUCAUGACGUUGGCAGGACAGCAGUUACCCCAUUUUACAGAUGCUAGCUUUGGAAACGACAAUAAGAAAUGUUACAAAUCUGAUGAGCUAGCAAGCCAAGAAUGUUGCCUCACACAAGCCAUUUUACAAGUGUGCUUCUUUGUUCCCUAAAAUACUGGAAAAAAUUCACAUCCUCCCAUAGCUACUGUAACAGCGAACAAGCUAAAAGAUAACAAUGAAAAACAAUCAGCAAAUUAACCUUCCAUAGGGGGGAUCUUGGGCAAAGAAAGUCUCGAGAACUCUAUGAGAAAGGGUUCAAUUAGAACAGGAGCUCUCUGUGGGCAAGACUCCAUUUUAGCCAGGUGCUUAAAGAAUGCAGAUUAGGGCUGAUAAAGCAACUCUUACCCUAAAUGCCUAUGGACGCCUGCCUGGGCCUGACUCUCUGGUCCAAAGCAGGAAAUGAGGUGAAAAGGGGAACUCGAAUUUCACUUGGAAUCCUAACUCUCAACCAACCUGUUUAAAAUAAUUUCUUGUAUGAAAACAUGUGGAACAGGGGUUCGUAAAUGCCUUAUAUUGAGAACUCCUCAGAAUGUUUCUUAAAGCACAAAAUCAAACAGAAUUAUGAAGAAAAUCAGUUACACUGAAAUAUUUAAAAGACCAAGUUAACGGACCCCAAGUUAAAAAAAAAAAACAGAUCUAGGGAAAAAUUUAUAAUUUUACUAAUUGCUAUUCUGACCAGCCAUCAAUAAAAUGCUGUCCCUCUCC